rnacentral:rRNA from 1 species
CCUACGGGUGGCAGCAGUGAGGAAUAUUGGUCAAUGGGCGGGAGCCUGAACCAGCCAAGCCGCGUGAGGGAAGAAGGUACAGCGUAUCGUAAACCUCUUUUGUCAGGGAACAAAGGCGGGGACUAGUCCCCGGAUGCGGGUACCUGAAGAAAAAGCAUCGGCUAACUCCGUUCCAGCAGCCGCGGUAAUACGGAGGAUGCGAGCGUUAUCCGGAUUUAUUGGGUUUAAAGGGUGCGUGGGCGGCCUGUUAAGUCAGCGGGAAAAGCCCGGGGCUCAACCCCGUAGAGCCGUUGAAACUGGCGGGCUGGAGUGGGAGAGAAGUACGCGGAAUGCGUGGUGUAGCGGUGAAAUGCUUAGAGAUCGCGCAGAACCCCGAUGGCGAAGGCAGCGUACCGGCUCCACACUGACGCUGAGGCACGAAAGCGUGGGUAUCGAACAGGAUUAGAUACCCUGGUAGUC